ACUGGUUGAUCCUGCCAGUAGUCAUAUGCUUGUCUCAGAGAUUAAGCCAUGCAUGUCUAAGUACAUACCUUAAAACGGUGAAACCGCGAAUGGCUCAUUAAAUCAGCUAUGGUUCCUUAGAUCGUAAACGCUACAUGGAUAACUGUAGUAAUUCUAGAGCUAAUACAUGCCUUGAAUCCCUGACCCGCAAGGGGACGGGUGCAUUUAUUAGAACAGAACCAACCGGGUGCGGCUUAUGCUGUGCCUGUUACAUUCUGUGAUGACUCUGGAUAACUUUACUGAUCGCAGUCGGCCUUGUGUGUCGGCGACGGAUCUUUCAAAUGUCUGCCCUAUCAAUUUGUUGGUAGGUGAUUUGCCUACCAUGAUGAUAACGGGUAACGGGGAAUCAGGGUUCGAUUCCGGAGAGGGAGCCUGAGAAAUGGCUACCACAUCCAAGGACGGCAGCAGGCGCGAAAAUUACCCACUCCCAGCACGGGGAGGUAGUGACGAAAAAUACGGAUACGGGACUCAAUUGAGGCUCCGUAAUUCGAAUGAGUACAAUUUAAAUCCUUUAACGAGGACCAAUUGGAGGGCAAGUCUGGUGCCAGCAGCCCGCGGUAACUCCAGCUCCAAAAGCGUAUAUUAAAGUUGCUGCAGUUAAAAAGCUCGUAGUUGGAUCUGGGUAGUGCGAUCGCAUGCUGUUGCUUGUUCACGGUCUUGGUUACGAUCAGGGCAGUGGUCAGCUCGGCGUAGUGGUUGUGCAACCUUUCAGCCGUGUCUGUGUUUUAUUAAACAGGUGUCGAUGGGUUAAUGAGUAUUGUAUCUUAUUGACCUGUUGGCAUGCUUUCGGAUGCCUUUAAACGGGUGUCGGGGGCGGACGGCAUCUUUACUUUGAACAAAUUUGAGUGCUCAAAGCAGGCCUAUGCGCCUGAAAAUUCUUGCAUGGAAUAAUGAAAUAGGACUUCGGUUCUAUUUUGUUGGUUUUCGGAUCCGAAGUAAUGGUUAAGAGGGACAGACGGGGGCAUUUGUAUGGCGGUGUUAGAGGUGAAAUUCUGGGAUCGCCGCCAGACAAACUACAGCGAAAGCAUUUGCCAAGAAUGUUUUCAUUGAUCAGGAGCGAAAGUCAGAGUUUCGAAGACGAUCAGAUACCGUCGUAGUUCUGACCAUAAACGAUGCCAACUGACGAUCCGCGUUGGUUCUAUA
rnacentral:rRNA from 1 species